rnacentral:rRNA from 1 species
UGGCGGACGGGUGAGUAACGCGUGGAAAACCUGCCGUAUACUGGGGGAUAACACUUAGAAAUAGGUGCUAAUACCGCAUAAGCGCACAGCUUCGCAUGAAGCGGUGUGAAAAACUCUGGUGGUAUACGAUGGUUCCGCGUCUGAUUAGCUAGUUGGUGGGGUAAUGGCCUACCAAGGCAACGAUCAGUAGCCGGCCUGAGAGGGUGAACGGCCACAUUGGGACUGAGACACGGUCCAAACUCCUACGGGAGGCAGCAG